GCCGCGGCUCCGGCUCUCGCUGUCGCUCAGCAGAUCGUCCUCCGAGUCCUCGAGCAGCGACGAGGAGCCGGUGGAGGAGAGCGACGAGGUGGAGAGGCGGCGUGGCUGCUGCAGAAGAAAACCUCACAUGGCCUAGAGUUGUGGCUGCACGCUGAAAAGAAAACACCGAUGUAGAAGUUCAGACCCUGCAAAUCCUUCUUGUCAUCCCUGGAGAGAUGUGCGGACUCUGCUUGCUGGUGCUCAGCUGAACUGCAAGGCUACUGUGAGCAGAAGCCAGAAUCGUCUUGCUGUCCCCUAAAAGGAUCGAGGGCCCUGUCAUGGAACACCAGAGCCUGGGAUUGUUGGAGCAGGCCCAGGGUUAUGUAUGCGACUUGCCUUUUCUCUCUUCAGCCAGAAUUUAAGAUGGUUCAGGAGAAGAAAUGAGUGUUGAGAGGGAGAAGGAGAACCUUUGGCAAACAGAAAAGAUCCCUAGAGGAGGAGAAGGAGGAAGAGGAGGAGGAGGAGGAGGAGGAGGAGAAGUAAGCAUGUUUCCAGGGGCUGUGGCUGCUUGUAGCCAUGGGAUCUCCAACUGCUUGCCAGAGUAAUGGAGAGACUUUGACAGCCCAGGUCACUGCAGUGCCUGCAGCUGCCACUCAGCUUCCCUAUAUAUUUUGGCGGGUGGGGAGGGAAGGGGGGGGAAGGGCAGAAGUGUGGAAGGAAUGAAAGCAAAAGAGAAAGAAAACCACAGGAGUCUGAACACUUACUCCUCCGUGGAGAGGUCAAGAAAGAGCAUGGACACAUGGAAACGGACAUGGACAGAGUUUCUGGGGCAGAGGGCAACAGCCAUGGGACAGAAAUAUAGGGAUGGAAAGGCCUGGAAAUGGAAUGAGCAAGAAUAUCAUGUCCUUGCCCAAGUUCAGGUCUACCAUACCGAGAACCAAAGACCGCUGCUGUGGGCUAUGGCGAAUGCCUGUGCUACCUUUGUUAGGACUCCAUUAGGCAGAAGGAGGAGGACCAGGGAUUCAAGCCAUCCAUCCACAGGUGCUGAAGCAAAAUUACUGCUAACUACCCCCACGUCUAUCUGGUCCUAUGCAGUUUCUAAAAGCUUCUUUAAAUUAAAAAAGCCAAACAAAAA